rnacentral:misc_RNA from 1 species
AAAGUCGUAACAAGGUUUCCGUAGGUGAACCUGCGGAAGGAUCAUUAUCGAGUUCAAACCGGGGCGUUCUGCUGCUGGCCGUCAAAGGCAUGUGCGCGUUCGCUCUCGCGUUCACUCACCCCUGUGCACCUUUGGAGGUUGACGAAAGUCGCCUCUCCCUACACAAACACAUAACAGUCUAUAGAAUGUAACUUUUGCUUUAACGCAUUAACAUACAACUUUCAACAACGGAUCUCUUGGCUCUC